CCACAAGCCAGGCUGGGUCCUCAAAGCCUGGGCUGGCGGGAAGACAUCCACAGCCCACCUGAUGCUAUUCUGCUCAGGCAGAUGGAAGCCACCCACAGGCCAGCCUGGGUCCUCAAGGCCUUGGCUGGAGCGACAGGUCGACGCCAUUAUGAUGGGCUAAUGUGUGGUGAGGAAAUGGGAGACAGAGAAGCAGAAUGGUUCGCGUGAUGUGGAAAGAGGCGGAAUGGAUACGUGAAGGGCAGCCCCAGUGGCCUGGACUGACCAGCUCAGCAGUCACCCAGGCCCACAUCCAGGGCCUUGGGUUGGCCCCCUAACAUCUACUCCAUCUAUGCCCUGCUGGAGCGUGUGAAAGAACUGGCCCAGUGGAAUGAUACCAGCAGGAUCUCCAUGACUCAGGGAGGCCACAGGAUAUCCAGAGGAGUUUUGGUUUUGCAUGAAUUCACAUUCCUGCGAGAGUUCUGAUUUGAUUCUGAAUAUAAAGUGUGAGGCUGGAGAGCGUCUCCAGUUAGGAGAGCUCGCUGCUCUUGCAGAGGACCGGAGUUCAGUUCCCAGCACCCAUGUCGGGGCAGCUCACAUCUGUCUGUCACUCCGGCUCUAGGGAUCUGACAUCCUCUUCUGGCCUCUGUGGGGGAUCUUGUGGACACUAGGUUGUGCUCUCUCUCACUCUUUC